AAGACCAACCUGGAGGAGGGAAGGAAGGAUUCCAGCAAGGGGUGGGCUCAGUGGAGUCUGGAGGCAGAGUGAGGCUUCUGACUACACAGUUAGGUUUAAAAGAUGAGAAAGCCACCUAGAGAAUCAGACUGCUCCAAAGAGGGGAUAGGGUACUAAGCCCUGACUGUCUAAGGAGGUGGUGACCAUAUUCAAGUUGGAGGAAAGAGAAGGAAGGGGGUUCAGAUAGCUAACUUCUCAGUUACCACAAAUUAAAUAAGAUCAGGACUUGGAUGGACCAGAACCAACGCAAGCACGUGAUUUAGAGACAGAUGAUGACGGGUACUCAAAGGACCAUGUAAGGAGUCGGGGAAGGGAGCUGAGGAGAUGGCUCAGAUGCCUCACAAAAGCACAGGGAGCUGAAUCAGAAUCCACAGCAUCCACAUGAAGGGCCAGGCAUGUCCACAUUGCCUGUAACCCAGGGGUUCUCAACCUGUGGGUCGCAGCCCCUUUGGUGAUUGAAUGAUCCCUUCACUGGUUGUCUAAGACCCUUGUGAUUUCAUAUCAUGAUUCAAAACAGUAGCAAGGUUACAGUUUUGAGGUAGCAAUGAAAUAACUUUACGGUUGGGGGAAGUCACAGCUUUAGGAAGGUUGAGAACUGCUGCUGUAACCCAAAUGCUGUGGAGUAGAGGCAGGUAGAUUCUGAGAGCUCGCCAGCUUGCCAUGCAAAACCUCAAGCUUCCAGUUCAGUGCCAGUGUCUCGGGGUGACGAGGUCAUGCGCAGGGGUGCUCCUAUGACUUCUGCAUGCUCACACAUGAUGGUACUCACUGCACACGUAUGUUGAAUGGUGGGAAACAUGGCAGAUUCCUCUGUACUUUUUUCUUCUCACUGGAUGAAAAUACUUGGGCUCCCUUGUUUAAAACACAACGUACAAUCUUUCUGCAUUGCUUCCUUUCAGAAACCAAGGCAACGUCCUCCCUACCCAAAUCAACUCUUCCUCAGGCCCACGGCCAUUCAGAGACUCAGGCAAUUUGUCUAAGUGCCACAUGAAACAUUGCUUUAGUUUCCGAAUCCAAUCACCCGGUCACUUUCUUGUCAUCGUCUCUUCACAUUAAUCCUAAUGUUAGCUUUUCCCCUUCCUUUGUGGGUCUUCGGCCCAAAUCAACAGCCCAAGGAAAUUGCCUGGGUUGUCUGAAGCUUUCAGAACUGUACAUGGCAGCUUUCCCCUGUAGGUUUGGAGCUCUCAAUAUUUAUAGAGGGAAAUGGGGGAUUGGGAGGAACUGAAUUACCAGGACCAGAACGAAAUGGCUUCCCUCGGAAAAUUCCAUGCAUCAAGAAUGUUCCCAAUGUCUAAAUGUUCUCCACACUCUGCGCUGUCUGCCCACCCAAACCCCAUUCUUAGACCCUGAGCACCAGCCCUGUCACAUGCUCUUCAGGGACAGAGUCACUUACCAGCCGUGAUCUGUUGAGUGUUCUGUAAGAGCUCAUGGCAGAACUGACCCAGGUCUUCGCAGUGGUCACAUGAUCCCUGCAUCGAGCCACCUUCUCUGAGAGUUCUCCUCACCUCACGGUUCUGAAUUUCUGAACUCUCAGGGGAGUCUCAUAUUUGAAACUUAUGAGUUGAAAAUAAUGAAGACCACUGCUGGGCCAUUUAAAAAAAAAUCAAGAACCAGGGCCCAGAAAGAUGCCUGGGCAGGAAAAGGUGGUUGGAGUGAAAGCCUGGUAAGUUGAGUUCAGUCUCCAGAAAGGUGGGAGGAGGGAACUGAGUCCCCACAAUCAUCCCCUGAUUGGCACACGUGCACUGUGUCAUGUGUGCCCCCAAUAAUAACAUUUUUUUAAAUUUGAAGAAUGGAAAUGACUGAAGUGUCUUACAUUGUCUGCCGUGAGUCAAGAAAGGGUUAGGCUGGGAAGAAUGGUAAGAAAAAAACGGUUGUUACUGAUCUGUAGCCUGGCCACUGGUUUCACCCACCUAGAGUUAGGCGUUGUGAAAACUCAAGUCUUUGUUUAUGAGAAGGUACCCACUUUGGUGUUACUCACCAUUUCUCCCACUUCUGUGUGUGUGUGUGUGUGUGUGAGUGUGAGAAUGUGUGUGAGUGUGUAUGUUAGUGUAUGUGAGUGUGUGUUGUGUGAGUGUGUGAGCGUGUGUGAGUGUGAGUGUGUGUGUUGUAUGUAUGUGUUCUGUGUGUGAGUGUGUGAGCAUGUGAGUAUGCGUGUGUGAGUGUGUGAGCGUGUGUGUUGUGUGAGUGUGUGAGCAUGUGAGUGUGUGUGUGUGUGCAUACUUUAAUGAGAGGUCAUCUACUACUCCCAUAAUUAUAUAGACAGUACUAAGUUAUGUAUAAGAGAAAAUAACCCCUCACACACGGAAGAAAGGGGUUAGAGUCAAGCCAACACUGAAUUCCUCUGCAGAAGUAAUCGGAGAGAGAGGGCCAGGAUGGCUCGGUGAGUAAAAGCAUUUGUUACCAAAGUCUGAGGACCUGAGUUCAAAUCCGAAAGCUGAGAAUAGCCACAAAUGUGUCUGUGACCCUCGUGCUCUUGGGGUAAGAGGAAACAGAAAGAUGGCUGGGACUUGCUAGCUGCCGAGUGGGUUCCAAGCUUAGUGAAUGAGCCUGUCUCAAGGGAAUGAAGCAGAGAAUGAGAGAGUAGGAAACUCCGGGGUCUUCCUCCAGCCUCACAUGGGAAAUAAUCCACGAGAAAGCCCACUUAAGGCUUUUAACCUUUGAUGGUUACCUGGGCUAGCAGUGAAGGCUUAGCAUAGCCAGGAAUUUCCCUUACAGAAAACAAGACCGACGCCUUUCAGAUGCCAGACUGCUGCUUUGACAGUUAUAGCUACCCGGAAGCAGUGCUCAUUUGUUAACUCCCUGUGCAACAGCACUUCCCAGGAAACCCACCGGGACUCACUUGAAUCUCUGCUGAAGGCCAUGGGUCCUGAACUUCAAAAUUCAGAGUUUUUUUUUUUUUUUCAGCGACAGGCCAAAACAAUCUUAUUUUUAAUUUUACGAAAAAGCGGAGGCGUAUCUCGUCUCCCUGCGGGGGGCCGGACCUCUCACCUUUUCGUAUUUCCUUGGAUGACUUUGCUCAGGAACUUCGGAAGGAAUGAGCCUAAGGAUCUCUCUCUCCCACAAACCACAGAGAUUUCCCACGGAGAGCCAGUCCCUACUGAAGUGCAUUUGGCUGCCGUAUCUGAAAAGUAUUUUUUUGCUUGUCUCUAAGGGAGCGAGCGCACAUCCAGGGCCCUGGGACUCACAGCUGCUACAGGGAAGCCACAUCACAGUUCACAAAGGCAUCCUUCCUGCCCACGGUCCCCGAGGAAGCAACUGUGGGACAACGUUUCUUUUCCCAGAAAUGAGUGCCUGGCCAGGAAAGGCUGGUGGUUUUCUGAGUUUCUGAGAGGACUCAGCACCACCACACGUCUCCCCUGGAACCAUCAGCCUUCUAAGCAGACAAUGAACUCCUUUCAAACGCACAGCAUCUCUCUUCAGAAGAACUCAGGCAAACUCACACCCAGUCGUGUUCCAAAAUUCUGCCCAAAAUGCCUUGUGUGUGGAGAGAAUAAUGAAUUUCUAAGAAAUGAAGUUGUGCUGCUGAUGGCUUACCAACUACAGUUCCAUGGAAAAGGGUUAUCCACACUCUCUCCAACAAGCUUCUCAUAGGGACAGCGUGCUAUCAUGGCCCUCUUGGCAGAGCAUCGGAUCAACCAACCCAUGAUCGUCAUCUCUUCCUCUCAUGCCAGGUGCUUCCUUCUCACACCUGAUCACUCUGGCUUGGCAUUCAGGACAACAUCCAGACACAGGGUGUGUGGGCAUGCGUUUCUCUUGCCUGACUGAAAAGUUUUCUUGGCUUUGCAGAUGCCACCUUCCCCUGUUGUCACUUGCUGCAGCCAUGAUCAACCCCACUGUGUUCUUCAACAUCAUGGCCAAGCCCUUGGGCUGCAUCUCCUUCAAGCUGUUUGCAAAGUUCCAUGAUCUCAGCUUGGGAGGGAAAGGGUUUGGAUAGAAGGGCUACUCCUUUCACAGAAUUAUUCCAUGAUUGAUAUGCCAGCAUGGUGAUGUCACACGCCAUAAUGGCACCGGCAUCUUCUAUGAGGAGAAAUCUGGGGAUGAGAACUUCAUCCUGAAGCAUUCAGGUCCUGGCAUCUUGUCCAUGGCAAAUGCUGGACCAAACACAAAUGGCUCCCAGUUUGUUUGUUUGUUUGUUUGUUUGUUUGUUUGUUUUUAAAUCUUCAUUUUUAAGAUUGAGUGGCUGGAUGGCAGGUGUGUGGUCUCUGGGAAGGUGAGAGACAGCACAAGCAUUGUGGAAGCCAUGGAGCUUUUCAGUUCAGGAAUGGCAAGACCAGCGAAAAGAUCACUGUGGACAAACUCUAAUUCUUCUGACUUGCCAUCAUACCCAUCAGACCACUCCUUUCCUUAGAAGACGGCACAUGACCCUACCCCAUCUGCUCACAAUACUCUGUAAUUUCUGCUCUCACCAACAUUCUUGGAGUUCCUUAUUCUCCUCAUUCUCCUCCAGGUCUAGCUGGAUUGCAGAGUUAAGUGAUUAUGAUUAUGAAUAAAAACUAAAUAAG